GUCUAUUGUUAUGAGGCUGUAUACGAUGCGCGUUGAACUAGCGCCAAACUUUUUACCGAAACUUUGAUAUAAAUAGCACUAUUAACGUUCAUUUGUGUUGCAUUUUGACCUAUUAUCCAAGUGAUUUACUUUUCCAUUAUUAUUUAAUCACCCAAUCAUCCAAUUUUUAAGAUGAAAUUACGGUGUUUACAAAACCAACCAAACCGAAAGUGAAACUGGAUGCAUUACGUUUCGCGAUGUAAACAUUAAAUAUUUGUUCAGUUUGAGGAAGCGAAUCGAUAAUAGACGUUGAAAUAUGUAUGCAAUACAGACUAUCAUUGCCGAUUGUAGUACUGGCUAAAAAAUACCUUUUAUGACAGGUAUACUGGAUUAUGAAAGACUGAUAAACAUAAAAUUGACAACUCAUCUCCCCAACGAUACUUUGUGUGGCUCAUUCUCGGAACAAACCCAUAGUCAGUGAGAAAACUACAGUGUAAAAAGACCACUUGAUUGUGACAAUUAUGGCUGACCAAGCAAAUGUUAUCAUUUAAAAUAAAGAAAACUUCCAGUUCAAUA